rnacentral:rRNA from 1 species
GGGGAAUCUUCCGCAAUGGACGAAAGUCUGACGGAGCAACGCCGCGUGAGUGAUGAAGGUUUUCGGAUCGUAAAGCUCUGUUGCCAGGGAAGAACGUCCGUUAGAGUAACUGCUAACGGAGUGACGGUACCUGAGAAGAAAGCCCCGGCUAACUACGUGCCAGCAGCCGCGGUAAUACGUAGGGGGCAAGCGUUGUCCGGAAUUAUUGGGCGUAAAGCGCGCGCAGGCGGCUGUUUAAGUCUGGUGUUUAAUCCUGGGGCUCAACCCCGGGUCGCACUGGAAACUGGACGGCUUGAGUGCAGAAGAGGAGAGUGGAAUUCCACGUGUAGCGGUGAAAUGCGUAGAGAUGUGGAGGAACACCAGUGGCGAAGGCGACUCUCUGGGCUGUAACUGACGCUGAGGCGCGAAAGCGUGGGGAGCAGAC